AGAGAGUUCAAUAGUACGUGAAACCGUUCGGGGGUAAACGGACAGAGCCCGUGAAUCUGGGCGGCGAAAUUCAGGAUGGUUGGGGCGGGUUUCGCGCUCGUUCCGGCCGUUUGAUGUUUUCGUCGCCGACGCAGACGUCGCGACCUGUUUGUCGUCGGUCCUUGCUCGGAGGAGUCGCGAUCGAGCUCGUUGCGGGCGUGUUUCGGCACGCUUUGCGGUGAAGACGCGAAUCUCUGGCUGACGGCGGACAGUACGCAACGGUGUCCGGUGUUGCGUCUCGUACUGCAACAUCGGUGCCGGUCAGCGACGAUUUCUUCGGGCCUCUUUCCGACCCGUCUUGAAACACGGACCAAGGAGUCUAACAUGCGCGCGAGUCGCGGGGUGUCGAGCGUACUACGGUGCGCUCGUUACGUCACGAAACCCGUUACGUUGAAGGCGUAAUGAAAGUAAAUGGGGAAGAUGGCGUUCCGAGUAUACGUACCGCGGUCCUAGUAUCGUGGCCGGACGCCCGCAUUCCCGGGGCGUCUCAACGGCUCGUCGCUAACGCGGACGGUCGUCUCUUCGGGGGCGGUCGUCGGUCUGCGACGGUCCGAGGCGCACCUAUAGCGUGCACGUUGGUACCCGAAAGAUGGUGAACUAUGCCUGGCCAGGAUGAAGUCAGGGGAAACCCUGAUGGAGGUCCGCAGCGAUUCUGACGUGCAAAUCGAUCGUCUGAGCUGGGUAUAGGGGCGAAAGACUAAUC
rnacentral:rRNA from 1 species